rnacentral:rRNA from 1 species
GGGUUGUGAGGUUAAGCGAAUAAGCGUACACGGUGGAUGCCUAGGCAAUCAGAGGCGAUGAAGGACGUGCUAAUCUGCGAUAAGCGUCGGUAAGGUGAUAUGAACCGUUAUACCCGACGAUUUCCGAAUGGGGAAACCCAAUAUCCAAUGGAUAUUAUCAUGACGUGAAUACAUAGCGUCAUGAAGCGAACCGGGAGAACUGAAACAUCUCAGUACCCCGAGGAAAAGAAAUCAACCGAGAUUCCCCUAGUAGCGGCGAGCGAACGGGGAACAGCCCAGAGUCUUAAUCAAUAGCAGCAUCAGGAGAACGGUCUGGAAAGUCCGGCAGUAAAGGGUGAUAGCCCCGUAUCUGAAGAUGCUGUUAUUGUGAACUCGACGAGUAGGGCGGGACACGUGUUAUCCUGUCUGAAUAUGGGGGGACCAUCCUCCAAGGCUAAAUACUCCUGAUUGACCGAUAGUGAACCAGUACCGUGAGGGAAAGGCGAAAAGAACCCCGGCGAGGGGAGUGAAAAAGAACCUGAAACCGUGUACGUACAAGCAGUAGGAGCCUCUUUAUGGGGUGACUGCGUACCUUUUGUAUAAUGGGUCAGCGACUUAUAUUCUGUAGCAAGGUUAACCGUAUAGGGGAGCCGUAGGGAAACCGAGUCUUAACUGGGCGAAUGAGUUGCAGGGUAUAGACCCGAAACCCGGUGAUCUAUCCAUGGGCAGGUUGAAGGUUGGGUAACACUAACUGGAGGACCGAACCGACUAAUGUUGAAAAAUUAGCGGAUGACUUGUGGAUGGGGGUGAAAGGCCAAUCAAACCGGGAGAUAGCUGGUUCUCCCCGAAAGCUAUUUAGGUAGCGCCUCGUGAACUCAUCUUCGGGGGUAGAGCACUGUUUCGACUAGGGGGUCAUCCCGACUUACCAACUCGAUGCAAACUGCGAAUACCGAAGAAUGUUAUCACGGGAGACACACGGCGGGUGCUAACGUCCGUCGUGAAGAGGGAAACAACCCAGACCGCCAGCUAAGGUCCCAAAGUCAUGGUUAAGUGGGAAACGAAGUGGGAAGGCUCAGACAGCCAGGAUGUUGGCUUAGAAGCAGCCAUCAUUUAAAGAAAGCGUAAUAGCUCACUGGUCGAGUCGGCCCGCGCGGAAGAUGUAACGGGGCUAAACCAUGCACCGAAGCUGCGGCAGCGACACUAUGUGUUGUUGGGUAGGGGAGCGUUCUGUAAGCCUGCGAAGGUGUACUGUGAGGUAUGCUGGAGGUAUCAGAAGUGCGAAUGCUGACAUAAGUAACGAUAAUGCGGGUGAAAAACCCGCACGCCGGAAGACCAAGGGUUCCUGUCCAACGUUAAUCGGGGCAGGGUGAGUCGACCCCUAAGGCGAGGCUGAAAAGCGUAGUCGAUGGGAAACGGGUUAAUAUUCCCGUACUGGUGGUAACUGCGAUGGGGGAACGGAGAAGGCUAGGUUGUCCGGGCGACGGUCGUCCCGGUUCAAGCAUGUAGGCAGAGUGAUUAGGCAAAUCCGGUCACUUAAUGCUGAGGUGUGAUGACGAACCACUAAGGUGGUGAAGCAAUUGAUGCCCUGCUUCCAGGAAAAGCCUCUAAGCUUCAGGUUACCAACAAUCGUACCCCAAACCGACACAGGUGGUCAGGUAGAGAAUACUCAGGCGCUUGAGAGAACUCGGGUGAAGGAACUAGGCAAAAUGGUGCCGUAACUUCGGGAGAAGGCACGCUGGCGGUAAGUGAAGUCCCUUGCGGACGGAGCCGAAGCCAGUCGAAGAUACCAGCUGGCUGCAACUGUUUAUUAAAAACACAGCACUGUGCAAACACGAAAGUGGACGUAUACGGUGUGACGCCUGCCCGGUGCUGGAAGGUUAAUUGAUGGGGUUAUCCGUAAGGAGAAGCUCUUGAUCGAAGCCCCAGUAAACGGCGGCCGUAACUAUAACGGUCCUAAGGUAGCGAAAUUCCUUGUCGGGUAAGUUCCGACCUGCACGAAUGGCGUAAUGAUGGCCAGGCUGUCUCCACCCGAGACUCAGUGAAAUUGAACUCGCUGUGAAGAUGCAGUGUACCCGCGGCAAGACGGAAAGACCCCGUGAACCUUUACUAUAGCUUGACACUGAACAUUGAGCCUUGAUGUGUAGGAUAGGUGGGAGACUAUGAAGUGUGGACGCCAGUCUGCAUGGAGUCAACCUUGAAAUACCACCCUUUAACGUUUGAUGUUCUAACCUAGGUCCAUAAUCUGGAUCGGGGACCGUGUCUGGUGGGUAGUUUGACUGGGGCGGUCUCCUCCUAAAGAGUAACGGAGGAGCACGAAGGUUGGCUAAGCAUGGUCGGACAUCAUGCGGUUAGUGCAAAGGCAUAAGCCAGCUUGACUGUGAGAGUGACGGCUCGAGCAGGUACGAAAGUAGGUCUUAGUGAUCCGGUGGUUCUGAAUGGAAGGGCCAUCGCUCAACGGAUAAAAGGUACUCCGGGGAUAACAGGCUGAUACCGCCCAAGAGUUCAUAUCGACGGCGGUGUUUGGCACCUCGAUGUCGGCUCAUCACAUCCUGGGGCUGAAGUAGGUCCCAAGGGUAUGGCUGUUCGCCAUUUAAAGUGGUACGCGAGCUGGGUUUAGAACGUCGUGAGACAGUUCGGUCCCUAUCUGCCGUGGGCGUUGGAAGAUUGAGAGGGGUUGCUCCUAGUACGAGAGGACCGGAGUGAACGCACCACUGGUGUUCGGGUUGUCAUGCCAAUGGCAUUGCCCGGUAGCUAAGUGCGGAAGAGAUAACCGCUGAAAGCAUCUAAGCGGGAAACUUGCCUCGAGAUGAGUCUUCCCUGUCACCUUGAGUGACCUAAAGGAACGUUUAAGACUAAGACGUUGAUAGGCUGGGUGUGUAAGCGUAGCGAUACGUUGAGCUAACCAGUACUAAUGAACCGUGAGGCUUAACCUGACAACACCGAAGGUGUUU